UCUUAUGGCCAUACCACCCUGAACACGCCCCAUCUCAUCUGCUCUUGGAAGCUAAGCAGGGCCAGGCCCGGUUAGUGCUUGGAUGGGGGAGAAUUCAUAUCCAGGAAGCCAAUCU
ensembl:rRNA 5S_rRNA 5S ribosomal RNA